CCUACGGGAGGCAGCAGUGGGGAAUAUUGGACAAUGGGGGGAACCCUGAUCCAGCCAUGCCGCGUGUGUGAAGAAGGCCCUCGGGUUGUAAAGCACUUUCAGUGAGGAAGAACGCCUGUUGGUUAAUACCCAUCGGGAAAGACAUCACUCACAGAAGAAGCACCGGCUAACUCCGUGCCAGCAGCCGCGGUAAUACGGAGGGUGCGAGCGUUAAUCGGAAUUACUGGGCGUAAAGCGCGCGUAGGUGGCUUGAUAAGCCGGUUGUGAAAGCCCCGGGCUCAACCUGGGAACGGCAUCCGGAACUGGCAAGCUAGAGUGCAGGAGAGGAAGGUAGAAUUCCCGGUGUAGCGGUGAAAUGCGUAGAGAUCGGGAGGAAUACCAGUGGCGAAGGCGGCCUUCUGGACUGACACUGACACUGAGGUGCGAAAGCGUGGGUAGCAAACAGGAUUAGAUACCCGAGUAGUC
rnacentral:rRNA from 1 species